UACAGAGGGGGCAAGCGUUGUUCGGAAUUACUGGGCGUAAAGGGCGCGUAGGCGGCCUGUUAAGUCGAACGUGAAAUCCCCGGGCUCAACCCGGGAACUGCGUCCGAUACUGGCAGGCUUGAAUCCGGGAGAGGGAUGCGGAAUUCCAGGUGUAGCGGUGAAAUGCGUAGAUAUCGGGAGGAACACCCGUAGCGAAGGCGGCACUCUGGGCCGGUACUGACGCUGAGGAGCGAAAGCGUGGGGAGCAAACAGG
rnacentral:rRNA from 1 species